rnacentral:ncRNA from 1 species
AUCUCACCGAUUCAAUUAAAACAAAGCAUUGCGAUGGCCCUCGCGGAUGUUGACGCAAUGUGAUUUCUGCCCAGUGCUCUGAAUGUCAACGUGAAGAAAUUCAAGCAAGCGUGGGCAAACGGCGGGAGUAACUAUGAUUCUCUUAAGAGAAAGCAUAGUUGGGACGUGAUGCACAAUUCAGUCCUCUUGUUAGGACCUUCAGCCUCUCACGUUCAAGUUGUACAUUCACCUCCUCGUGGUACUCCCGGUAACGUCGCCUACUUUUGAAACGUCAGAUUCGGUAGUGUGAUGGCUGAGCGCUGUUACAACGAUCUUGGUCUUUGGGACUGCCAGCCUCUCUGACCUUAUUCAGCAGACCCAAAUCAGAAUAAUAAGCCUCGGAUAAAUUGUAAUAACCCUUUGGCCUUAGGUCCUGCUCAAGCAAGACAGGCAUCUACGACUUUGGCAGAAGCCUCGUCCGUUCACACUUGUGAUUUCCCAGGCUGUGGCCGAACAUUCAGUACCAAGACUGGAAAAGGGGUGCAUAAUCGUCGUGGUCAUCCUGAUUAGUUUGAUGCGCAACAAUGAUGCACGACAAUCAAGGCCAUGUGGUCUGAAGAGGAGCCUCUUGUUCGCAAGGAAAGAAGUUGAGCUGUGGCAAGGUGAGAGGUUCAUGAAUCAAGCUCUAUUCGAUGUCUUUCCUGAGAGGUCACUCGAAAGUAUUAA